ensembl:rRNA 5S_rRNA 5S ribosomal RNA
ACCCACAGCCAAAUCACCCUGUAGCCCAAGAUCGGUUACUCACUGAAGCUAAGCAGGGCUGAGCCUGGUAAGUACCUGGAUGGGAGACCAAAUGGGAAAACUAGGUUGGUGUUGGGA